rnacentral:rRNA from 1 species
GAUCAUGGCUCAGGAUGAAUGCUGGCGGCGUGCCUAACACAUGCAAGUCGAGCGGCAGCGAGUUUUACACUGAAUUCUGGAAGCUUCUGGAUAAUAUAGAAGAUCUAUUCAAGGAUUUUGUGUAAAAUGUCGGCGAGCGGCGGACGGCUGAGUAACGCGUAGGAAUUUGCCCCAAAGUGAGGAAUAACUGCCCGAAAGGGUAGCUAAUGCCGCAUAUGGUCUUCGGAUUAAAGU